GGCGCAGUGGCAGAGUGGUCUAAUGCGUGUGACUAGAAUAUCUAGAUUAUCACAUCCCUUCGGGGGCGUCUGUUCGAAUCAGGCCUGCGUCG